rnacentral:tRNA from 1 species
GCACGAGGUGCAGGAGCUGGUCCAGCUCCGGUCCGGGCGGAUCCGCCUCGGUGCGACGCCGAGCCUGUGCAC